rnacentral:rRNA from 1 species
GAGUUUGAUCAUGGCUCAGGACGAACGCUGGCGGCGUGCCUAACACAUGCAAGUCGAACGAGGUCCAACCAGUGGCAACACUGGGGACGGCCUAGUGGCGAACGGGUGAGUAACACGCGAGGAACCUGCCCCGAAGACCGGGAUAACUUUCCGAAAGGAAAGCUAAUACCGGAUGUCCCCACCGGAUCACAUGGUCUGGCGGGGAAAUGGAUUCCGCUUCGGGAGGGCCUCGCGGCCUAUCAGCUUGUUGGUGGGGUAACGGCCCACCAAGGCGUCGACGGGUAGCUGGUCUGAGAGGACGAUCAGCCACACUGGGACUGAGACACGGCCCAGACUCCUACGGGAGGCAGCAGUGGGGAAUCUUGCGCAAUGGGCGAGAGCCUGACGCAGCAACGCCGCGUGGGGGAUGAAGGCUCUCGGGUUGUAAACCCCUUUCAGUAGGGACGAAAUCAGACGGUACCUACAGAAGAAGCCCCGGCCAACUACGUGCCAGCAGCCGCGGUAACACGUAGGGGGCAAGCGUUGUCCGGAUUUAUUGGGCGUAAAGAGCUCGUAGGCUGUUCGGUAAGUCGGGUGUGAAACCCCCAGGCCCAACCUGGGGACGCCACCCGAUACUGCUGUGACUCGAGUCCGGUAGGGGAGCGUGGAAUUCCCGGUGGAGUGGUGGAAUGCGUUGAGAUCGGGAGGAACACCAGAGGCGAAGGCGGCGCACUGGCCAACGACUGACGCUGAAGCGCGACAGCGUGGGGAGCAAACGGGAUUAGAUACCCCGGUAGUCCACGCCGUAAACGAUGA